CAUGAAUGUGGACACAACGUGAGCGUGAGAACCACUGCUGCACUACUGAGGCAAAAAAGAUCACGGAACUGACAAAGGAGCCACAUCUGUUUCGCCAUCUUGAGUAAAUCUUGAGACUGAGACUUGUAAAAGGUCGCAGCAGAUGUUCAGGCAAACUGGAGGUGAAGUCCAGUGAGUCCUUUGCUUCAGUGUGUGACUGUUUCUUCACCUGAGCUGCAGAGGGUCGUGGGAGGCUGGAGUCAAUCCCGUACAGCAGAUCGCCAAGUCAUUUGCAAAGCUGAGACAAACAACCAUUCACACCUAUGGACCUGCAUGUCUUUAGACUAUGAGAGGAAGCCCGAGCACCCAGGCACAGGGAGGACAUGCAGACUCCACACAUAAAAGCUGUAGGCUAAUAGGGGUCUGAACACAGAACUUUCUUGCUGGGAGGCAACAGUGCUAACCACUACACCACCAUGUCACCCUACUAAGAAACCUGGCACGGUUUUUCUCUGACUGUGAUGGAUCUGAGUCUGCACUGAUGGACUGUGGAUCUGCAAAGCUGUGGUUUUCCUCCUCUACUGUUGAGGUGGUCUGUACAGAUGUAAAGUCUCUGUGCCGUGUCUCCUCAGGGCAGCAGAGGGAAGCAGGCAAGAACUGAGGAUAUGAAGUCGGAAUGUUCAAACCUGAAUGGUUCUCAUCCUGGAGUGAGAUUCUUAUGGUCUACAUUAUAUUAGUGUUUACAUCAUUAAAAAUGAAAUGUAUUUAUUGUAUGCUGGGAUGAAAAUGAUGAAGAAUUAUUACGUUUUCAUUUCAUUCAACUUUUCCUGAGACUUUUACAUAGCUAUAAUAGUACUAACAUGUUCAUCAGUCUACCAUAAUGUGAGGGUCUGUUCUAAUAAAGGUACAUGGAUUGCUUAAGCAUUGACACAUUAUUCACUGUAUUUCCAGACCUGGACAGAAACUGUGAUUUGUAUGUAGAAUAUGAAG